rnacentral:rRNA from 1 species
UCAAGUGACUAAGUGCAUGUGGCGGAUGCCUUGGCGAUCACAGGCGAAGAAAGACGCGGCAGCCUGCGAAAAGCUGCGGGGAGCUGGCAAACGAGCUUUGAUCCGCAGAUAUCUGAAUGGGGGAACCCACACCGUAAGGUGUAUCCGUGACUGAAUACAUAGGUUACGGAGGCGAACGAGGAGAACUGAAACAUCUAAGUAUCCUCAGGAAAAGAAAUCAACCGAGAUUCCGGCAGUAGCGGCGAGCGAACCCGGAGGAGCCUAGCUUUUGAUAGUACGAACUUUAGCCGAAAGGUCCUGGAAAGGCCUGCUAUAGUGGGUGAUAGCCCCGUAGGCGAAAGAGUUCGUAUGGUACUAAGGAAGCGAGAAGUAGAGCGGGACACGUGGAAUCCUGUUCGAAGAUGGGGGGACCAUCCUCCAAGGCUAAAUACUCGUGAUCGACCGAUAGUGAACCAGUACCGUGAGGGAAAGGCGAAAAGAACCCCGGGAGGGGAGUGAAAUAGAACCUGAAACCGCAUGCAUACAAACAGUAGGAGCCUCGUCAGAGGUGACUGCGUACCUUUUGCAUAAUGGGUCAGCGACUUACAUUCUGUGGCGAGCUUAACCGAAUAGGGGAGGCGCAGCGAAAGCGAGUUCGAAAUGAGCGUCCAGUCGCAGGGUGUAGACCCGAAACCAGAUGAGCUAUCCAUGGCCAGGUUGAAGGUGUGGUAACACACACUGGAGGACCGAACCGACUAGUGUUGCAAAAUUAGCGGAUGAGCUGUGGAUAGGGGUGAAAGGCCAAACAAAUCUGGAGAUAGCUGGUUCUCCCCGAAAACUAUUGAGGUAGUGCCUCGUGUGUCGCUCCAGGGGGUAGAGCACUGUUUUGGCUAGGGGGACAUGGAGUCUUACCAAACCAAGGCAAACUCCGAAUACCUGGAAGCGUAAGCACGGGAGACAGAGCACCGGGUGCUAACGUCCGGACUCAAAAGGGAAACAACCCAGACCGCCGGCUAAGGUCCCCAAUAACAGCUAAGUGGAAAACGAAGUGGAAAGGCCGUGACAACCAGGAAGUUGGCUUAGAAGCAGCCAUCCUUCAAAGAAAGCGUAAUAGCUCACUGGUCGAGUCCUUCUGCGCGGAAGAUGUAACGGGGCUAAGCUGUUAACCGAAGCCGCGGAUGCACUGAUUAUUCAGUGCGUGGUAGGGGAGCGUUCUGUAAGUCUGCGAAGGCGGUUCGAGAGGACUGCUGGAGAUAUCAGAAGUGCGAAUGCUGACAUGAGUAACGUUAAAGCAGGUGAAAAGCCUGCUCGCCGUAAGCCCAAGGAUUCCUGCUCUACGUUCAUCGGAGCAGGGUGAGUCGGCUCCUAAGGUCAGGCCGAAAGGCGUAGCCGAUGGGAAUCAGGUUAAUAUUCCUGAACCUGCGUCAGAUGCGAUGGGGGGACGGAGCAUGAAAGAUCAUCCGGGUGUUGGAUGUCCCGGUUGACGAGCGUAGGAGGUCUGCAGGCAAAUCCGCAGACGCAUCUCCAAGGCGAAGACACGUGCCGCCACGGCGGCGAAGUGAUCGGAAGUGCUUCCAAGAAAAGCCUCUAAGCACCAGUCUGACGCGGACCGUACCGCAAACCGACACUGGUGGGCGAGCUGAAUAUGCUCAGGCGCUUGAGAGAACUCGGGAGAAGGAACUCGGCAAAUUGACACCGUAACUUCGGAAGAAGGUGUGCCGUAGUACCGUGAGAGGAGAGACACCUUGAGCGGGAAUCGGUCUCAGAGAAUAGGUGGCUGCGACUGUUUAUUAAAAACACAGCACUCUGCAAAGUCGAAAGACGACGUAUAGGGUGUGAUGCCUGCCCGGUGCUGGAAGAUUAAUUGAUGGGGUGAGAGCCCUUGAUCGAAGUCCCAGUAAACGGCGGCCGUAACUAUAACGGUCCUAAGGUAGCGAAAUUCCUUGUCGGGUAAGUUCCGACCUGCACGA